UAACCUACCCAUCAGAGGGGGAUAACACUUGGAAACAGGUGCUAAUACCGCAUAACAGUUUAUGCCGCAUGGCAUAAGAGUGAAAGGCGCUUUCGGGUGUCGCUGAUGGAUGGACCCGCGGUGCAUUAGCUAGUUGGUGAGGUAACGGCUCACCUAGGCGACGAUCCCUAGCUGGUCUGAGAGGAUGACCAGCCACACUGGAACUGAGACACGGUCCAG
rnacentral:rRNA from 1 species